rnacentral:lncRNA from 1 species
GGUGUAUCCAAAUGCAGAUUAGUCUCAGGGAUGCCAUGUCAGUUAAGAGUAAUCUAUGGUCCUUUCAAAACUCUUGCUGGGUUUUGCCUAAGAUUCGAAGCCUAAAGCUCUGAAUUCUGACCUCCCUGAUUACUGACUGAGGAAACAAUAUCCCCAAAAUGGAAAGCUCCAGGUCUGUGUGCUUAGAUUUAGGCUCCAAGGACUGAACACCCUGCAUGUAAGGUGUGUGUCUAAGCAGUAUUUAUGACAUAACAAACCAGCCAAGAGCUGGAGGUUCUGAUCAGCAAAUAAGGAAGGAACAACAUCUGACAUCUUUACCCACUUUAACUGUGAGUAUAUGAAAUCUAGGCAACAAAAUAAAUAGAACAGAGACUGGAAGACGUGAUGCUUCCUGGGAGAACAUGUGCCCCAUCAAGCAAAGAACUUGUAAUACGCUGAAUGCUGCAUAGAAGGUUUUGAAACUACUUACCUGCUGUGGAACACCUGUAUAACUUUAAAAUGCAUCAAUCAAUCUCGAGAGUAUGAUCAUGCUUCCUGCUUUUAAGGAUCUGAAGUUAACUGCAACUCCAAGUAUACAAGACUUCUUUGGGACCCAUGGAAGCAUCUCUACAUGCUCAUGUUUGCCAGAUUCAGUGGCCUCCUGAAACCUGGCCCUAGCUAAUAAGUUAAAAAGCUCUAAGUAAUCCCGAGCUGCAUUUGAAUCUCCAAGAUCACUUGUUCAUGGGUUGGUAAUACUUUAAAGAGCCAUUUGUUUAACUGCUAAUCUGGAUCUUAUAUUCUGAGCCCCAGCUUUUUUCUAAAGCAAAGAAAAUACAAAAUAAAAGUAAGACCAAAUGCCUUUGUACCAUGGAGAGAGAAAUGACUCAUUGGAAUGCUUCUGUUUUUCAUCACAUCAAAGAUGCAUCAACAUAAAUCAACCAUUAUAUCAUGCACCAUGAUAAAAAAGGGGGAUAAAAGUCCCCAAACCACUGCCAAUUAAACCAACACAGUGCCUUUGUAUUAUUCAGAAUUUUUAUCUUAGCCUUAUUGAAAGAGCUUUUUUAGAACAUAUUUAAACAAUUCUGUCAUAUUUCAUUCUUGCAUACUCAUUAAAAAGGAAAAUAUGAGAGAUACAAAUGAAAGGUUUCCAAAAGUUUCCUCUCAUUCAGAAUCCAAUUCUUCAGAAUUAUUUUGCAACCCAGACUCUUUGAUGUCCUCGUUUUCCCACCAAAUAUGUUAUCAAGAGCAUGGUAGGGCAGAGUUUCUUAGAAGAAGGCAAUGUUAUUGUCAUUGAACACUGGCACUCAUCCUACAAGUUUUGAUUUUGGCCUCUUUUUUUCUGUGGGGUGGGGGGCAGGGUCUCGCUCUGUUGCCCAGGCUGGAGUGCAGUGGCACAGUCAUGGAUCACUGCAGCCUUGGCCUCCUGGGCUCAAGUCGUCCUCCCACCUCAGCCUCCCAAGUAGCUGAGACCGC